rnacentral:ncRNA from 1 species
UAUAUGGAGAGUUUGAUCCUGGCUCAGGACGAACGCUGGCGGCGUGCCUAAUACAUGCAAGUCGAGCGGACAGAUGGGAGCUUGCUCCCUGAAGUCAGCGGCGGACGGGUGAGUAACACGUGGGCAACCUGCCUGUAAGACUGGGAUAACUCCGGGAAACCGGGGCUAAUACCGGAUAAUUCUUUCCCUCACAUGAGGGAAAGCUGAAAGAUGGUUUCGGCUAUCACUUACAGAUGGGCCCGCGGCGCAUUAGCUAGUUGGUGAGGUAACGGCUCACCAAGGCAACGAUGCGUAGCCGACCUGAGAGGGUGAUCGGCCACACUGGGACUGAGACACGGCCCAGACUCCUACGGGAGGCAGCA